GAUGAACGCUCGCGAUAGGCUUAACACAUGCAAGUCGAGGGGCAGCAUGGUCUUAGCUUGCUAAGGCUGAUGGCGACCGGCGCACGGGUGCGUAACGCGUAUGCAACUUGCCUAACAGAGGGGGAUAACCCGUCGAAAGACGGACUAAUACCGCGUACACUCUAUGUUGGGCAUCCAAUGUAGAGGAAAUGAACUUCGCUGUGAGAUAGGCAUGCGUCCCAUUAGCUAGUUGGUGAGGUAACGGCUCACCAAGGCGACGAUGGGUAAGGGAACUGAGAGGUUGGACCCCCACACGGGUACUGAGACACGGACCAGACUACUACGGGAGGCAGCAGUGAGGAAUAGUGGUCAAUGGGCGAGAGCCUGAACCAGCCAAGUCGCGUGAAGGAUGACUGUCUUAUGGAUUGUAAACUUCUUUUAGACGGGAAUAACAAGAGUCACGUGUGGCUCCCUGCAUGUACCGUAUGAAUAAGCAUCGGCUAACUCCGUG
rnacentral:rRNA from 1 species